rnacentral:lncRNA from 1 species
GAUGAAUGGGAAGAAAGAAACCACGACCAAACAUCUCUCGAUGAAUGGGAAGAAAGAAACCACGACCAGACAUCAACAGAUGAAUGGGAAGAAAGAAACCACGACCAGACAUCUCUCGGAUGAAUGGGUAGAAAGACACCACGACCAGACAUCUCUCGAUGAAUGGGAAGAAAGAAACCACGACCAGACAUCAACGGAUGAAUGGGAAGAAAGAAACCACGACCAGACAUCUCUCGAUGAAUAGAAAGAAAGAAACCACGACCAGACAUCUCUCGAUUAAUGGGAAGAAAGAAACCACGACCAGAUAUCAACGGAUGAAUGGGAAGAAAGAAACCACGACCAGACAUCUCUGGAUGAAUGGAAAGAAAGAAACCACGACCAGACAUCUGUCGAUGAAUGGGAAGAAAGAAACCCCGAUCAGACAUCACUCGAUGAAUGGAAAGAAAGAAACCACGACCAGACAUCUCUCGAUGAAUGGGAAGAAAGAAACCACGACCAGACAUCUCUCGGAUGAAUGGG